UGCAUUCAAUCCUGUUAAUCGCUCUGGAUAAGAGCGUCUGCUAAAUGACUAAAA
rfam:Salmo salar isolate Sally breed double haploid chromosome ssa01, whole genome shotgun sequence.